UGAGUAACACGUGGGUGAUCUGCCCUGCACUUUGGGAUAAGCCUGGGAAACUGGGUCUAAUACCGAAUAGGACCGCGCUCUUCAUGGGGUGUGGUGGAAAGCUUUUGCGGUGUGGGAUGGGCCCGCGGCCUAUCAGCUUGUUGGUGGGGUAAUGGCCUACCAAGGCGACGACGGGUAGCCGGCCUGAGAGGGUGACCGGCCACACUGGGACUGAGAUACGGCCCAGACUCCUACGGGAGGCAGCAGUGGGGAAUAUUGCACAAUGGGCGCAAGCCUGAUGCAGCGACGCCGCGUGAGGGAUGACGGCCUUCGGGUUGUAAACCUCUUUCAAUAGGGACGAAGCGCAAGUGACGGUACCUAUAGAAGAAGGACCGGCCAACUACGUGCCAGCAGCCGCGGUAAUACGUAGGGUCCGAGCGUUGUCCGGAAUUACUGGGCGUAAAGAGCUCGUAGGUGGUUUGUCGCGUUGUUCGUGAAAACUCACAGCUUAACUGUGGGCGUGCGGGCGAUACGGGCAGACUAGAGUACUGCAGGGGAGACUGGAAUUCCUGGUGUAGCGGUGGAAUGCGCAGAUAUCAGGAGGAACACCGGUGGCGAAGGCGGGUCUCUGGGCAGUAACUGACGCUGAGGAGCGAAAGCGUGGGGAGCGAACAGGAUUAGAUACCCUGGUAGUCCACGCCGUAAACGGUGGGUACUAGGUGUGGGUUUCCUUCCUUGGGAUCCGUGCCGUAGCUAACGCAUUAAGUACCCCGCCCNGGGGAGUACGGCCGCAAGGCUAAAACUCAAAGGAAUUGACGGGGGGCCCGCACAA
rnacentral:rRNA from 1 species